GGUGUGCUUGCAGGCUUUGAAGAACAAGCUGCCAUGAAUCCUGCAGCUACAAGGAAAUGAACUCUAUUAACUUGAGUGAGCUUAAAACUAGAUCCUUCCCCAGUCAAGCCUCCAGGUGAGAAUUCAAUCCUGGCUGGCACCUGGAUUGCAGCUUACAGAAGACCCAGCUAAGGCCAUGUCUGGACUUUAAAUCCACAGGAACUGCAAGAUGGUAUCAGAAGUGGGACCUGCAGUGGGGCAUCUAGCAACCCCCAGGAGCAUUGAGUGACCAGGCUUGGGACCCACCGGGCGCAGGGUGUCCAUUGUUCUCUCGAAGCAACUGAGAAUUGUGGAUAUUCUUCAUUAUUCCAUCAUCAUCUCAAACCUCUUGGGUAUAGUGUUUGACUACUACUGUGACCAUAAAUUCCAAUAAAACCUAGGAAAAAUGAAACCACUACAUUAACUGAAAGGGUAUCCUCCUCUCACCUUCAGUGCCCGGAUGCAGGAGGUAACUCCCUGGUGAGGAAGACCUAAGUAUAUGGCCAUAGAUUCAUAAGGAGAAUGGAAGAGAAAAGUGCUUUUAAAAGUGAUAAAUUUGAGAAAAA
rnacentral:lncRNA from 10 species